AUUGAACGCUGGCGGCAGGCCUAACACAUGCAAGUCGAGCGGCAGCACGGGUACUUGUACCUGGUGGCGAGCGGCGGACGGGUGAGUAAUGCCUAGGAAUCUGCCUGGUAGUGGGGGAUAACGCUCGGAAACGGACGCUAAUACCGCAUACGUCCUACGGGAGAAAGCAGGGGACCUUCGGGCCUUGCGCUAUCAGAUGAGCCUAGGUCGGAUUAGCUAGUUGGUGAGGUAAUGGCUCACCAAGGCGACGAUCCGUAACUGGUCUGAGAGGAUGAUCAGUCACACUGGAACUGAGACACGGUCCAGACUCCUACGGGAGGCAGCAGUGGGGAAUAUUGGACAAUGGGCGAAAGCCUGAUCCAGCCAUGCCGCGUGUGUGAAGAAGGUCUUCGGAUUGUAAAGCACUUUAAGUUGGGAGGGAAGGGUAGGUUAACCUAAUACGUUGCUACUUUGACGUUACGACAGAAUAAGCACCGGCUAACUUCGUG
rnacentral:rRNA from 1 species